GGGCAAUUGAAGUUUGAUUAGAGUUAAGUAGUUGAGUUUUGGUUUGGUGUGGCGCUGGUUCUUCUUAGGGGAAAUGGUGAAGUUUGUUAUUUUGUGGGGGGGCCAUCUUAGUCAAGGUGAUUCUUAGAACUUUAAAUACUAAGGGCUAAAAUAGGAUUAGAUACCCUAGUAUGCUUAGUUAUAAUGUGAUAUUUCUCUUGGGUAGUAAACAGAUAUGUCCUCGAAACUUAAAGGAUUUGGCGGUAUCUAAGUCUGGUUAGAGGAACUUGUGCAGUAAACGAUAGUCCCCGAGAAUCUUGCCUUCUUUUGUAACUUCUCAGUUUGUAUACCGCCAUUAUUAGGUAAUCUUAAUAGGGGUUUAUUGGGAUAGGCUAGCUUAGGAUAUUAGGUCAAGGUGCAGCUUAUGAGGAGGAAUGUUGUGAGUUACAUUAAUAUAGUUUAUACGGAUGGGGUGGGGGAUUUGUCUACCCUUGAAGGAGGAUUUAAUAGUAAUGUUCGUGUAUGAUUGCGAAUUUGAUAAGAGCUCUUGGAUAUGUACACAUCGCCCGUCGUUCUUACUCU
rnacentral:rRNA from 1 species